rnacentral:rRNA from 1 species
GGUUGCGAUCAUACCAGCACUAAUGCACCGGAUCCCAUCAGAACUCCGUAGUUAAGCGUGUUUGGGCGAGAGUAGUACUAGGAUCGGUGACCCCCUGGGAAGUCCUCGUGUUACAACCC